rnacentral:tRNA from 1 species
GCACCAGAUUGUGGAUCUGGGGGUCGCUGGUUCGAGCCCAGCCAACGGUACCA